GGCGCACGGGUGCGUAACGCGUAUGCAAUCUACCUUACACUAAGGGAUAGCCCAGAGAAAUUUGGAUUAAUACCUUAUAGUAUAUUUUUGUGGCAUCACAGGAUUAUUAAAGAUUUAUUGGUGUAAGAUGAGCAUGCGUCCCAUUAGCUAGUUGGUAUGGUAACGGCAUACCAAGGCUAUGAUGGGUAGGGGUCCUGAGAGGGAGAUCCCCCACACUGGUACUGAGACACGGACCAGACUCCUACGGGAGGCAGCAGUGAGGAAUAUUGGACAAUGGGCGCAAGCCUGAUCCAGCCAUGCCGCGUGCAGGAUGAAGCAUCUAUGGUGUGUAAACUGCUUUUAUACAGGAAGAAACCCCUUUACGUGUAGAGGAUUGACGGUACUGUAGGAAUAAGGAUCGGCUAACUCCGUGCCAGCAGCCGCGG
rnacentral:rRNA from 1 species